GACGAACGCUGGCGGCGUGCUUAACACAUGCAAGUCGAGCGGUAAGGCCCUUUCGGGGGUACGACGAGCGGCGAACGGGUGAGUAACACGUGGGUGACCUGCCCUCAGCUCUGGGAUAAGCCUGGGAAACCGGGUCUAAUACUGGAUAUGACUCCAUGACGCAUGUUGUGGGGUGGAAAGCCUUGUGCGGCUGAGGAUGGGCCCGCGGCCUAUCAGCUUGUUGGUGGGGGAUGGCCUACCAAGGCGACGACGGGUAGCCGGCCUGAGAGGGCGACCGGCCACACUGGGACUGAGACACGGCCCACGACUCCUACGGGAGGCAGCAGUGGGGAAUCUUGCGCAAUGGGCGAAAGCCUGACGCAGCGACGCCGCGUGAGGGAUGACGGCCU
rnacentral:rRNA from 1 species